rnacentral:rRNA from 1 species
GUGCCAGCAGCCGCGGUAAGACGGAGGAGGCAAGCGUUGUUCGGAAUUAUUGGGCGUAAAGGGCGCGUAGGCGGAUCGGCAUGUCUGGCGUGAAAUCUCCACCGCUUAACGGGGAGAGGUCGCUGGAAACUACCGAUCUGGAGUUCGGCAGAGGGCCAUGGAAUUCCAGGUGUAGCGGUGGAAUGCGUAGAUAUCUGGAAGAACACCGGUGGCGAAGGCGGUGGCCUGGGCCGAAACUGACGCUGAGGCGCGAAAGCCAGGGGAGCAAACGGGAUUAGAUACCCCCGUAGUCC